CUGGGACCUCUUGAAGAAACCGAGUGAGUCUAACAGGCUGCUGAUCUCGUCCGCCUUCAUUUUCUUCACGGGAACAGUCUGACGUGUCGUGCAGGGAACAAAGAGAAGUACAGACGCACAUGCAUUUGGACACAUGAAUAUCAGACGUGGAUUCUUCUCCUCCGAUGAAUCAUAUUCCAAGUUGUGGCUACACAGGAAGGAACGGAUCAAGGCAAACAACAGGGAGGCCGCAGAAUGGUGAGAGACCCUGGUUGCCUUGGCAGAGGAUCUGUGUUGUCCCGGCAUGGAUGAUGAGGAUGGUUUGCUGCCAGUGACCUUGUUUGCAGCGUUUUUGUCAUGUUGGUGGUGAAGGGACUGAAAUGGCUACCAGAUGUGGUUCCAAUCUGUUCUCGUUGUCAUGGAAACACAGGGACUGGAAUAGGUUUUCUGAGUCCAGGGCUUUUGGCUGACUCAUAGGGCCUGAGUUUUAAAGCCUAGCUGUUUCUAUAGACUUGGCACACUGACGAUGCCCCAGCUCCAAGUCAUGUUUAGAUUGGCAGCCGACAUGUCAUUGAACCCCCUUCCCACACGCCAAACCCUGACUUUUUGACCAAGCUUUGCGUUUUCCUGUAUAGUCACUCCUUUGUGUUAUUUUAUGUUGCCUGAGCCAAAGUGAAUUUAUGUUUCACACGUCAAUCUUCAAUACCAAAUCAAUAAAACCAGCAAAAUAUUACUAAUAGCUAACUGCAGAGGGGAUAUGAAAAGGCCAAGUUCCAUAAUCAUACACAGGCCUUUCCAAUUUAUAUCCAUUCAAAAGCAGCAAGCGCAGAAAUCCAUCACAAGUCGUACACAUGCUCAAUCAACACAGUUUAUCCUGAAAUGCUGCGCAGUGGUGACACGCAAUUCCAAAGUGUGACUUUCCCACAACACGUCAAGGAUGAAAAGCCAGAGAACAUGUGUUGGUAUGCUCAGCUGAGAAUCUUCUCCAUCUGCGAGUUGAGGAUGGGCAGAUGGAGGCAGUUGUGUCAACAUUCCUCUCCAUCCUGGCAAUGAAUCAGACUUCAAGCCAUUGUCGCAUGAAAAAUGGGCCGAUUCAGUGGGGGAAAGUGUUUAGAUUCCAGUAUGGGGUUGGAGAACAAGACUAAGUCUAUAGCCAGCUUAGUGAGACUGUACACAGUGGUUAUCUGAGCUAAAUGCUCAGAUCAGCAUGCUAACAUGCUCACAAUGACAAUAUUAACAGAUGUUUAGCAGGCAUAAUGUUUACUUACCAUCUUAGUUUCUUAGCAUGCUAACAUUUUAAUUAGCACUAAACAAUGAAAUACAGAUGAGGUAGAUGGGCAAAAAAAAAAUGAGUCUCAAAAGUCAAGCUCAUGAUGAUACUAGGAGAAUCCUAAAGUCAUCAAGGUUCAUCCUUUGGAGGCCAUAAAAGGCAAUCCAUCCAACAGUUUUUGUGAUUUUACAUUACAGAUUAAAGUAGUAGACUAGCUGACAUUGCUAUCCCUAGAGCUGUGCUUGGAGGAAAGGCUGUCCAUGCUGAGAGAAUCUUUCAUUGUUUAAAAAAAAAAAUCUUUUUAGAGUGGUUUAUAAAUCACUAGAUCAACAUCAAUUUGUUGUCAACAUCAAAUCAAGGCAAAAUAAGAUAGUCCCUAAUUCCCUGAAGUUUUACAGCCCUGAAAAACACUUUUGAAUUACACACAUGUACAUUGUAGGUAGAACACCAGAAGUGUAGAAUCCAAAACAAAGCUGCUUCGCCUUCUGGUUCCAAUUACCCAUCACAUGACCUAUCCAUCCAUCCUUAUAUCCAUCCAUUCAUCCUCCUUCAUUGCCUUGUGGCCCAGCCCUGCUAUAUCCCUCUUCUCCUCGCCAAAAGAGGACACAUAAGCAGCGCGUGAUUAAGUCCUUAGCACAGAGUUUCCACUGUUUUUCCCCCAUGAAAGGAGCUCUUGUCCCACCGUCCUGAAGGAGCCAAAUGAACAGUUCCCUCAAACUCCCUGACUCUUUGAAGAGCCGCUGUGACCGAACGACUCUGGAGGACUCGGUACUUGGCAGCCCAGUAGCCUAGAGUCACAGGAAAGGGUCAAAUAUCAAUGAGCAUUUGAAUAAAUCUGUUUGAAGAAUACAAUAAACGAUUUAUGUUGUGUAGCA